rnacentral:rRNA from 1 species
GAUGAACGCUGGCGGCGUGCCUAAUACAUGCAAGUCGAGCGAACGGACGAGAAGCUUGCUUCUCUGAUGUUAGCGGCGGACGGGUGAGUAACACGUGGAUAACCUACCUAUAAGACUGGGAUAACUUCGGGAAACCGGAGCUAAUACCGGAUGAUAUUUUGAACCGCAUGGUUCAAAAGUGAAAGACGGUCUUGCUGUCACUUAUAGAUGGAUCCGCGCUGCAUUAGCUAGUUGGUAAGGUAACGGCCUACCAAGGCAACGAUGCAUAGCCGACCUGAGAGGGUGAUCGGCCACACUGGAACUGAGACACGGUCCAGACUCCUACGGGAGGCAGCAGUAGGGAAUCUUCCGCAAUGGGCGAAAGCCUGACGGAGCAACGCCGCGUGAGUGAUGAAGGUCUUCGGAUCGUAAAACUCUGUUAUUAGGGAAGAACAUAUGUGUAAGUAACUGUGCACGUCUUGACGGUACCUAAUCAGAAAGCCACGGCUAACUACGUG